AGAUGAGAAUCCUCACAGCUUAUAUCUGAGCAUCAUCUUAAAACUAGAAGGUCCUCACCUCAACCCACUAACAAGUGAUGAGACCAAAAAAGGAAUGAGACGAGCAGGGAAGAAAAGCCAAGCCCACGCUGAUAGAUGGAACAUGCCUGUUAUUUCAAAUAUAAUUUAACAAAUAUUUCACUAUUGGCUCAUAAAAUAUUUCAGCUCUGUGACUGAUCCUAAUGAUCAACUUUACAGUAAAGAAAUCAAAUACAUUGUCAGUAAUACGCCAAACUUAGUAGCUCUCGGGGGG
rnacentral:misc_RNA from 1 species